rnacentral:rRNA from 1 species
UGCCAAGGCUAAAUACUCCCUGGCGACCGAUAGUGAAGCAGUACCGUGAGGGAAAGGUGAAAAGCACCCCGGAAGGGGAGUGAAAUAGAUCCUGAAACCGUGUGCUUACAAGAAGUCAGAGCCCUAUGAUAUUUUCCUUUGGAAAAAUCACGGGUGAUGGCGUGCCUUUUGUAGAAUGAACCGGCGAGUUACGUUCCCGUGCAAGGUUAAGGUGAAGAGCUGAAGCCGCAGCGAAAGCGAGUCUGAAUAGGGCGAAUGAGUACGUGGACGUAGACCCG